AGAGCUCUCCUUCUAUCUUCUCCAAGUCCUCUAUGACUGAUUGGAGAUAAAGUUUCUUUUCAUCUCCUUGCGAGCACGUAGCCAUCCACGCAUCCUCGAAAAACUAUAUAUACCACUUACUCUCUCUCUCUCAAGCGUCUACCAUCCGUCUCUCCACCAGCCCGCCGCCUCCUCUUUGGCGGCCGGCUUGGCCUCCUCUUCUCGUUUUCUUGUCUUCCCUUCUUUCCCUCUCUCUCUUUUUUCCUCCUUAGAUUUUUUUUCCUGGUUUGGUAGCUUGAAAUUGUAAACCGUUGGGUUGUGCUCGGUGUUUCUUGGGUGGUCUUACGGUGCUUCCCAAUGUCGGUCUUUGUUGCCUAGAUCUUGGGGUCGAACGACAUUGGUUUUGGACAGCGGUGAGGGGUGACAACGUGAGGGGUAGGUGAUGGAUUAUUGUCCGAAAUGAGACCGCAACCGAGAUCGUUGUUGAUUUGGGGUUCUUUGGGUGUUGGGUGUUUGUGUCUUUUUGGUGAGGCAGCGGGAUGUCGAUUUGGGUGUUUUGAGGGUUUUGGGUGAGAUAAUUUGGGUGAUGGCGGCUGAUUGGGUUUAUUUUUGCUGUUGUGUUAUGGCGGCUAUAUGGGGGUUUGGUUUUGCCGUGGUUAUGUGAUUGUGUUGCGAUCAUGGUGGUGGCGCGUGGUGACUUGAUGGUUGAGGAGUAUUCGCGUGACAGUAGGUUCGUUUGGGGAAUGAAUCAAUUGGCAGCCGGUGGUGUUUGCCGCGGGUGAUGGUGUUUAGGUGUAGGUGUUGUGCUGAUGGUAGUGGUGAUUGCAGCGGAGUUGAUUCUCGCUGAGAUGUUUGGGUUUGGUGGCGACCUGAGAUUGGUUUUCUCAAGGUGGCGCGUGCAUGAUUUCAAGCAGUAGGGUGUUUGUUAGUUGGGAUCUUGCCAUGUUAUGCUUUUACUAGUUGCAGCACUGAAAGAGUAUCUGUAAUUUCUGAAGCUCUCGUAUGUAUAUCUCUUUCAUUAUACAUUUGAUUUCAUUAUUUUUUUAAAGAAAUAUUUACUUUGCCUAUCAAAAAAAAAAGGAAAAGCUACUAUAUAUACCAAGUUACCAUUAUACUGCCAUUUAAAGAUGAUUAAAUACACAUGAAAUAUAAAAAAUACGCAUAUCAAUCAUGUUACUUUAAUAUUGCAAUUCAUAAAAUAGAGAAAUUUUAUUCAUAAGAUAAUAGAAUGUCUUAUUUAUUCAAAUAAAUAAAACACAAUAAGUUCCGAGUGAGGGAACAACUCAAGUUUGUAAUUCACUGUCGUCUCGUGAUCUAAAUUCUAAGGGGCCAUUCUGCUGUAAUUCAUUGUUUGUUUGCAUGAUCUAGUUGCAGCAGCUGCCUCAUUUAAAUGACAAGUUCCAUCUUUCGUCGCCUUUUCCCAGAGGAUUUCCGUAGGCUCUGUCCUGGGGGAACCCGAAUUGAAAUAUCUCCAAUAAAGGAGUCCACACACUCAUUCAAAGCCCUGGUAAUCACCUCUCGCUCACUCUCUGAGGGUUCUUGGUGCGGCAUAAACCUAACAUCCACAAGAAUAAGCAAUACCUUCUUGUCUACAUUUUUAGCAUCAUUCAAUAUCAAGUUGGCGAAACUGACUACCCCAUAUAUUAACUGAUACUUGAUUCUUUCCGGAAUUCUCACCUUAUUAAGAUAGGAAUACAGGAGGCACUCUAAGUUGAUAUUAUCAGUAUCCAAAUCAAUCUGACACAAUUGAAAUAGAGCACAGUUUAAAUUCAACACCACAACAUCACAAUCUUGGUUAGCUUUCAAAACUUGAUUGCACAAAUAUAGGUUGAAAACAAUGCCUUCGUAUCCAUUGGGACCAUUGCAGGUGAUAAUGCUAUCGCUCAGUGACCAAUGAAAAAUAUACUUAUGGUUCAUGUUGUAGGAUCCGAUAGGACACCAAGCAAAAUAUGAAAUCACUGUAAAUUAAAGAGAUCUCAAAUCCAAAGACAACAAGUCUCUAUAACAAUAGUGAAUGUGAUGCAGAUUGCAAGGCUUGAAGAUUAAUUGGAGACCCGGGGCCGUCGUUAUACCCGCGUGAUUGGUAAACUUUAAUCGACCAUAACUUUUGCUGUGUAAUUCCGUUUUUCUCUUAUAAUAUAUUGUUGGAAAGCUCUCGACGAGACGAAGAUUUUUUGGGCUAGGAAAUGCGAAAAAACGCUUUUAAGUAUGAUUUUUGAUCUUUUAGUAUUUUGGGCCUGUUUUUUGGGCUUGUUUUCUUAAGAUUUCGUAAUUUAUUCUUUUAACCCGGUUUGUCCCGGGCCCUAGGGUUUUGUGAACCAUAUUUAUACUCUAAUUCUUUAGGGUUUCAAUAGUUUUUGGAGAUUAAUAUUAUUUGUGUUGUUUUCCAAUCGUUUGGUAUUCUUACGAAUCAACGAGCGUUUGAUGCCUCUUUAUCUGGUAUUCGAUUGAAUCAACAGGUUUAGGGAAGCCAGUAUUCUUUGGAAUCAACAGUUAUUGAUUUCUUGUAAGUGUCCACUGCAUCACAAUGAGAAUAAUCGAAUGAAAUAUGAAACCCCAUAUACACAUUCACGUGGAGAACAUAUGAACAAAAUAGAAAUUGGGUUUGAGUAGGUACCUUAUGAUGAAUCAGGCAUGAGGGUUUCCUAAAAAAGGACAUGUUUGAUUAGCCGGAUUAAACAUGUAACCUACUUUUUGAGGUUUUUCUAUACCGAGCUACCCAUAUCAUAACUUCAAGGACAACAAACUAUUCGGCCAUUGGAACUUUAAAACCUGAAAAUUAAAAAAAGUUAUAACCGAAUCGAAUGAUUUGGUUUCAUGGUUUACAUUGGUAAAUUAUAUUUACCUGUUAUACACAGAUAAAGAGAAAAAAUAGAACCACUUCUAGACUAACAAAACUUGCAAACACGAAAAAACUUCCAAAAGCAUGAAUAAUAACAACAUUGAACUGGGUUAUGAUUAGUUUUUUUGGGCCACGGACUUGGGCCUAGAUAAUUAGUUUUUAGUUUGGGCCACAGGCUUGGGCUUAUAUCUAUCAAUCUAUUUAUCUAUCUACAUAUAACUUAUGAUUUGGUUCGGUUUUUAAUUACGGUUUAGAUCCAAAAAUCACAAAUCGAUCUGUGUGGAAAUGAUUUGAUUUUCUUGAACUAUGAAUGAACCAAAGCUUACAAUUUGGACCAAUUCCAACGGUUGCGCUGUCGAUCGGGUUUUACUCAUUCAUAAAAAAGGGUUAAUUUCACUUUUACCCUUUUAAAUUUGACUAACGUUUCACUUUAAUCCUUAUAUAAAAUUCUAUAUAUAUUUAUAUCAAUAUUAUUAGUUGAAAAAUAUAUGUUAAAAACUUGGUUAUAGAAGUUUAAUUAAUUAUUCUGCAUCUCAAAAAAUAAAGACAAAUCAAUUAUACAUAAACUAAUAACUAAUAAAUAUGAUUUUAUUUUAAAUAAUUAAUAUUUAAAUUAAAAAAAUAAAUCAAAAUUCCACCUAAUGCUGGAAAAGUAACAUGAAGAAUUUAAAUAACGGACUAUGCUAUAAUUACAACAAUUGGUUUACAACCAAUUACAACAACGCCAAAACGAUGUCGUUUUGGUAUUAUUAACACAAAACGACGUCGUUCCAUUUAGCCGAUCCAUUUGGCAGUUAAAUGAAACGACGUAGUUUUAGCAUUGUUGUAAAUAGUUGUUGUAAACAAUUGUUAUAAACUUAGCAUUUUCCUUAAAUAACCGGUGAGAGACCAGUUAUGGGACUUAACACUAAACAGGUCCGAACUGGAUUCUUGAGUCCAAAGACUCCAAACACAAAAAUACACAUGACUGACUAUAAGGAGCUUAUUUAGAUGUAAAAGUGCCCCUCUUUGGCUUUUAAUGACCUGUAAAGCUUGACAGCCAUUGCUUUUUCUUGGCAAUGUAGUGGCAAGUUGAGCUACAAUCUUUUCCUUUGUGAAUUUAUAAAGAGACCAAUCAGAGAAGAUUCUCGAGGCAUUCCCUUUAUUUAUUGAUUUAUUUUUUAGAAUGGUACCAUAAAAUAAAUUAAGGACCUGGCUUCUUGGAGUCCAAUUGAUGAACAUAAUCGGUGCAAUUUAAGCAUUUUAGUUCUUAUCUUAGAAUAAUAAAGAUUAGUAUUGUAAAAAAUUACGUUGAUCGGAGUUCAGUAUCCAUUCAGUACUGUUUUAAAACUUAAUAAAUGAGUGUGAUACAUGUAAUUUUACCCAUUUAUAUUAAUAUUGAUAUUGAUCGACUAACGAUCUGUAUCCGAUCAACGUGAUUUUUUAUAAUAUUAAAGUUCUUGAUGAAUUAUACAAUAUGAACAGUUUAAAUUAUCAAAAUAACCUCAAAACGGAGUCUAAAAUACUUAACUUGCACCAAUAUAUUUUAACUAUGAGUACAAAUAAGUAUGAUCCAUAAAUUAAAAAGAAGUGUACGUCUUCCAAGAUAAGUGCCCUUAUUUCAGUCAUCUUAAAAUUGCUUACUUGAAAACUAAGUAUACGACUAAAACUAUCUCUUGAUCUAACGAGAUGGAUUGCCCCUUUUCUAAGGGUCAUUGAAAAGCCUGCCGGCCAUGGCUCAAUUCAAUAGGCUUUGGCCCGGUCUAUGGUUAAGAAGGUUCAAGUUUAGAAUAGUAUGGGCUGAGUUUGGGUUCAAUUCUUAAGCUCGUGGACCGAUUCGCAGCCCAACUCGUGGCAAAGUCCGAAGGCCCAACCCGUUGCCCCGCCUACGGGCCAACUCAAAUACAUUAAUUUUUUAUAAUAUUUUAUAUAUAAAAAAUUAAUAUCUAUGAAUGAUUUUAUGUAAUUACACAUUAUUUUUUUUAUUUUGAUAUUUUUAAUCUUUUAAUUUAAAAUAAAAUAUAUUUACAAAAUAUUAUUUAAAUGCCCGUAGGCUCAGGCCUAGCCCUACCCAUAGGCUCAGACGCCUUAAGGCCAGUGGGUUGGACUUGAAUCUCAUCUUUCAAGCCCGUCUCGGCUCAUUGACCAGUUAAAGUCGAUCGAAGCCGCCCCGACCCUGACCCCAACCCGAUCCGACCCAACCCGGCCCAGCCCAUUUACGACCCUUACUUUGUGUGUGUGUGUGUGUGUGUGUGUGUUUUGUGUUUGUGUGUCAAACAUUUUGAAAGAAAUGAUUUCUUCAAGUGUCUUUCUAAUCAAACAUUAAUAUGUAUACGAGAAAAGCUAUAAUACACCUCUUGAUUUUUAGUGUAUGGUGCACACUCAUUGGGAAAAAAAAAUAAUUUGAACCUUUAAAUAAAUUAAUAGAUAAUAAUAACAACUUCAAUAUUCAAUUAAAUUUGUUUUUAUGAAUCGUAUUAGUUUGAUUAUGAAUCGUAUUGAUUUUAUUAUGAAUUUUAGUGAUCACUGUUAUGAGAUAUUUUUUUUACGAAUUCUAUUAGUAUUUUUGGUAGUUUUAUAAAUUUUUAUGAUUCUUUUAUGAAUCUUUAUGGGUUUUUUAUAAUUCUUAUUGAUAUGGUCAUAAAAAUGAUUUAAUCACUUUAAAACAUAAUUAUCUUUGAGUCCACCAAUUAAAGUUUUAUUUUAUUAAUUUUAUUAUUUUUCUUUAAUUAUAAAUGAUUAUGAUCAUUGUAACUAAUUAGUGUGUUUUCAAAUAAUAAUUUAGUUACUUUAAAGAUUUAAUUGUCAUGGAAUUCACUAAUUAAAUUUUGAUCUAGCUUCUUUAAUGAGUUAUAUUAGUUUAAUUUUGAGUUAUAUCAGUGUUGUGAAUUGAUGCAGAUGGCAUAACAGAAGACUACUUGGAGACCCAAUGGUGUCGUUAUGCCCGCGUGGUCAAUAAAUUUUAAUCGGCCGUAAUUUUUACUGCGUAACUCUGUUUUUUUAUUAUAAUAUAUUUUCAAAAAGCUCAAGAUGAGGCGAAGGCCUUGGAAAACGCAAAAAAAUAUUUUUAAGUAUGAUUUUCAGUCCGUUUAGUAUUUUGGGCUUAUUUUUUAGGAUUUUUAUAAAUUUUUCUUUUAACCCAAUUUGUCCCCGUCCUUAGAAUUUGUCGCAUAUUUAUACUCUUAUUUGUGACGUUUUUAUCAGUUUUUUGAGAUUAGUAUAGUUUAUACGCAAGUUUGCACCAUUUACUCCCAUCGUUUGGUAUUUUUACAAAUCAACGAACGUUUGAUGACUCUUUGCCUGGUACUUGAAUCAACAAGUUUAGAGAAGAAAUCCAAAUCGGCAUUUUCGGAAUCAUCAUCUAAAGUUUGAUUAUUGAUUUCUUGUUCGUAUUCGCUGCAUCAUGAAUGGAUUUGUAAUGAGUUUUCUCUGGGUGGGUUUGUUGGAAAACGGAAGAGAGAAGUAGUGGGUUUAUGGAGUUGAGUAACAUGAUAAAUACUAUAAUGGAAGUUUUUUCUCCAUUAAAUUUGAAAGGGUCCUUGGCUGAUGUGUCAAAAUUUUAUAUUAAAAAGUAUAAAAUUUUGAUCAAAAUUUUAUAAAAAAAUUUAUUAAAAAAAUUCAAAAAGCAAAUAAUAAUAAUAAUAAUAAUAAUAAUACAAAGGCAAAGAAUCAUGUGCUCUCUCUUUUUCUCUCUCUAGAUAUUGCGCGGAUGUUGGUCACAAUGGACCAGCUCAUGGAUGCCUUUCCACUUGGGAAAUCCAAUAACCAAUGUGAGGGGCAAUCUCAAAAGUGCCACUUUCCAAGAUUGCUACAGGUCUGCCGAAAGUUAGGGUGGACUAGCAAAGAAAACACGCCCCCAUUGUUGUCAUAAUCACUGCUAUGCUACUAUCCAUCGUAGGAAAAUCACCUGGUGACGUAACAGAGUAAAAAUUGAUCGAGAUUUGGAAAUUAACUAUCGGACAAACUUUAUAGUUUGAACUUUAAUGAAUGGGAUUUUUUUAUAUUAUAAAUACCUUCUGAGAUUUGAUCUUGCAACGUUAAGAAAUUAACUUUAAGUUGUUCUCUCCUUCUACUCAACUAAAUCUUUUGAAAUUAUAUAUAUAUAUAUAACGAUUUUUUUAUAUUAUAAAUACCUUAUGAGAUUUGAUCUUGCAACGUUAAGAAAGUAACUUUAAGUUGCUCUUUCUUUUUACUCAACUAAAUCUUUUGAAAUUAUAUAUAUAUAUAUAUAUUUUAAAUAAAUAAAAAGUCUUCUCAUUGUUUUUGUUGAACUCACGCAAGAAUCUUAACCCAGUGUCAUUUACGCGUAUUUGUACAAGAAACUUGAGAAGCAGGAAAUUGCCAGAGAUUGAACAAUGGCAAUUUAGUAAUUUCACCAAAAAGCAUAGACAUUUAGAUGUGGCAUGACCAAGCCUGCUUAAUAUAACCGCCAUCCUAACCACCGUUCCCCUGUGUGCAAGAAAACUGCAGAGCAAAUCCCCCCCCCCCCCCCCCCCCCCCUUCUCUCUCUCACAAAUCGCUACUGCCUGACCUCUCUACAAUCCUUUCCCGUUAAUCUACGUGCUCUCUACACCCGCUGCUGCUGCCGCCGCCGCCACCACCACCACCUUCAAAUGAACAUUGAUGCUAUAUACGUGGACCAGCUCUUUGAGGGAAAAAACAAAGCCAAAGAAAUGGGAACAACCAGUGGUAGUAGUGCG
rnacentral:lncRNA from 1 species